GGGGUGGUGCGACACGGAGAUGUCCCGCGAGAACAAGACCGCGACCUUGAACCGCAACAAGGUGGCCGCAGACAGCGCUGCCAUCGAGGAGGCUGAGGCGACCAAGGCGUCCAAGGAGGCGGACAUCGA
rnacentral:SRP_RNA from 1 species